rnacentral:rRNA from 1 species
AUGAAGGUGGCGUGGGCCAGCAAGGAGCCUGGGGGUUCAGCAGGACAUCCUUGCCGGAGUAGUCGAGCAGAGGCUGACACUGGCCAAUAUGAGCAGCAUUGCCGCAGAUCGCCUCCAUGUGGGCUGCUGUUGCAAAGUCACUGUGCUGCACCUCAGCGAAUUUAUGUGUUCAGCCACUAUCAGACUUUGGUGGUAUGCUCCGGCUGCCAAAUUGUGCUCUGCCAACCCACGGGUGGAAAGGCGAGGCUCAUCAAGGGAUGCCUUAUUAUGGCAAAAAUGAAGCCCUUCUUAAGAUUGUUUACUACUCCCUCCGUCCCGAAAAACAUGUCGCAAUGGUAUUUUUGUGAAAAAGUCCUUCAGGUUUAUCCGACCGAACCCGCGGUCCAAUCCUCUCCUCUGCUAGCUCGCUCAGUUCCAUUAGCUCCCCCGCAACACCGGCGACCUCGCGUAGCUCAAGCACACCGCCCCGCCGCGCAGCUCCACCGCAACCCCGCGCGGAUCCACCUCUACCCCGCGCAGCUCCCCUGCUCCUCGGCGUAG